GAAUGCUGACAUAAGUAACGAUAAAGCGGGUGAAAAGCCCGCUCGCCGGAAGACCAAGGGUUCCUGUCCAACGUUAAUCGGGGCAGGGUGAGUCGACCCCUAAGGCGAGGCCGAAAGGCGUAGUCGAUGGGAAACGGGUUAAUAUUCCCGUACUUGGUGUUACUGCGAAGGGGGGACGGAGAAGGCUAUGUUGGCCGGGCGACGGUUGUCCCGGUUUAAGCGUGUAGGUGUGUGUUCCAGGUAAAUCCGGUUCACUUUAACACUGAGGCGUGACGACGAGGCACUACGGUGCUGAAGCAACAAAUGCCCUGCUUCCAGGAAAAGCCUCUAAGCAUCAGGUAACAUCAAAUCGUACCCCAAACCGACACAGGUGGUCAGGUAGAGAAUACCAAGGCGCUUGAGAGAACUCGGGUGAAGGAACUAGGCAAAAUGGUGCCGUAACUUCGGGAGAAGGCACGCUGACACGUAGGUGAAGUGAUUUACUCAUGGAGCUGAAGUCAGUCGAAGAUACCAGCUGGCUGCAACUGUUUAUUAAAAACACAGCACUGUGCAAACACGAAAGUGGACGUAUACGGUGUGACGCCUGCCCGGUGCCGGAAGGUUAAUUGAUGGGGUCAGCGCAAGCGAAGCUCCUGAUCGAAGCCCCGGUAAACGGCGGCCGUAACUAUAACGGUCCUAAGGUAGCGAAAUUCCUUGUCGGGUAAGUUCCGACCUGCACGAAUGGCGUAAUGAUGGCCAGGCUGUCUCCACCCGAGACUCAGUGAAAUUGAACUCGCUGUGAAGAUGCAGUGUACCCGCGGCAAGACGGAAAGACCCCGUGAACCUUUACUAUAGCUUGACACUGAACAUUGAGCCUUGAUGUGUAGGAUAGGUGGGAGGCUUUGAAGCGUGGACGCCAGUCUGCGUGGAGCCGACCUUGAAAUACCACCCUUUAAUGUUUGAUGUUCUAACGUGGACCCGUGAUCCGGGUUGCGGACAGUGUCUGGUGGGUAGUUUGACUGGGGCGGUCUCCUCCUAAAGAGUAACGGAGGAGCACGAAGGUUGGCUAAUCCUGGUCGGACAUCAGGAGGUUAGUGCAAUGGCAUAAGCCAGCUUGACUGCGAGCGUGACGGCGCGAGCAGGUGCGAAAGCAGGUCAUAGUGAUCCGGUGGUUCUGAAUGGAAGGGCCAUCGCUCAACGGAUAAAAGGUACUCCGGGGAUAACAGGCUGAUACCGCCCAAGAGUUCAUAUCGACGGCGGUGUUUGGCACCUCGAUGUCGGCUCAUCACAUCCUGGGGCUGAAGUAGGUCCCAAGGGUAUGGCUGUUCGCCAUUUAAAGUGGUACGCGAGCUGGGUUUAGAACGUCGUGAGACAGUUCGGUCCCUAUCUGCCGUGGGCGCUGGAGAACUGAGGGGGGCUGCUCCUAGUACGAGAGGACCGGAGUGGACGCAUCACUGGUGUUCGGGUUGUCAUGCCAAUGGCACUGCCCGGUAGCUAAAUGCGGAAGAGAUAAGUGCUGAAAGCAUCUAAGCACGAAACUUGCCCCGAGAUGAGUUCUCCCUGAGACUUAGAGUCUCCUGAAGGAACGUUGAAGACGACGACGUUGAUAGGCCGGGUGUGUAAGCGCAGCGAUGCGUUGAGCUAACCGGUACUAAUGAACCGUGAGGCUUAACCUUACAACGCCGAAG
rnacentral:rRNA from 2 species